rnacentral:tRNA from 1 species
GUUCCUUUAGUAUAUAAAGUAUAUUUAACUUCCAAUUAAAAGGUCUGAUAUCAGAAAGAACA